AACGAACGCUGGCGGCAGGCUUAACACAUGCAAGUCGAACGCAUCGCAAGAUGAGUGGCAGACGGGUGAGUAACGCGUGGGAACAUACCCUUUUCUACGGAAUAGCUCUGGGAAACUGGAAUUAAUACCGUAUACGCCCUACGGGGGAAAGAUUUAUCGGGGAAGGAUUGGCCCGCGUUGGAUUAGCUAGUUGGUGGGGUAAAGGCCUACCAAGGCGACGAUCCAUAGCUGGUCUGAGAGGAUGAUCAGCCACAUUGGGACUGAGACACGGCCCAAACUCCUACGGGAGGCAGCAGUGGGGAAUAUUGGACAAUGGGCGCAAGCCUGAUCCAGCCAUGCCGCGUGAGUGAUGAAGGUCUUAGGAUUGUAAAGCUCUUUCACCGGGGAAGAUAAUGACGGUACCCGGAGAAGAAGCCCCGGCUAACUUCGUGCCAGCCGCCGCGGUAA
rnacentral:rRNA from 1 species